rnacentral:rRNA from 1 species
AGUAACGGCGAGCGAACCGGGAAUAGCCCAACGUGAGAAUCUGCAGCUUCUUAAGUUGCCGAAUUGUAGUCUAUAGAGGCGAUCUCUGUGUCGGGAUGGCGUCCAAGUCUUCUGGAAAGGAGCGUCAGAGAGGGUGAGAACCCCGUUGGACGGCGUUUCCGCCGCCGCACGAGACGCUUUCGCCGAGUCGGGUUGCUUGGGAAUGCAGCCCAAAGUAGGUGGUAAAUCCCAUCAAAGGCUAAAUACUGACGGGAGACCGAUAGCGAACAAGUACCGUGAGGGAAAGAUGAAAAGAACUUUGAAAAGAGAGUUAAACAGUGCGUGAAAUUGUUGAAAGGGAAACGCUUGACACCAGUCAUGCGGGUGGAAAAUCAGUCUUUUGCAGUGGGGAGUUGUGGGCGUUCAGACCGCAAGGCUGGCGUUUGCUUGAUCUCUACUGUAAGUGAUGCACUUUUUCAUUUGCAGGUCAACAUCAGUUUGCUUUGCUGGACAAAACCCCAAGGGAAGGUGGCAGCUUAGGCUGUGUUAUAGCCCUGGGGCGAUACAGUGGAGUGGACUGAGGUUUUCGCAGUGUGUGCUCUCUGGGCAAGGCUGACUGGGUGCUAUGGGAUCGUUCGGCGUACAAUGCAUGCAUUUUGCGUCGUGUCCUUUCUAUACUCGCUCAACUCGGCUCUUCCACACUUAGG